rnacentral:rRNA from 1 species
AACCGGAGCUAAUACCGAAUAACCCAGUGAACUGCAUGGUUCACUGGUAAAAGGCGGUUUCGGCCGUCACUCAUGGAUGGGCCCGCGGCGCAUUAGCUAGUUGGUAAGGUAACGGCUUACCAAGGCAACGAUGCGUAGCCGACCUGAGAGGGUGAUCGGCCACACUGGGACUGAGACACGGCCCAGACUCCUACGGGAGGCAGCAGUAGGGAAUCUUCCGCAAUGGACGAAAGUCUGACGGAGCAACGCCGCGUGAACGAUGAAGGUCUUCGGAUCGUAAAGUUCUGUUGUUAGGGAAGAACAAGUACCAGAGGAAAUGCUGGUACCUUGACGGUACCUAACCAGAAAGCCACGGCUAACUACGUGCCAGCAGCCGCGGUAAUACGUAGGUGGCAAGCGUUGUCCGGAAUUAUUGGGCGUAAAGCGCGCGCAGGCGGUUUCUUAAGUCUGAUGUGAAAGCCCACAGCUCAACUGUGGAGGGCCAUUGGAAACUGGGGAACUUGAGUACAGAAGAGGAGAGUGGAAUUCCACGUGUAGCGGUGAAAUGCGUAGAUAUGUGGAGGAACACCAGUGGCGAAGGCGACUCUCUGGUCUGUAACUGACGC